rnacentral:lncRNA from 1 species
CGCGCGGCCACCGCAGCGCGCGAGGGGCGGCAGCCCAGGGGCUCAGAGACGCGGAGACAGCCCGAGACACUGCGGGCCAGAGACGGGGCCCUGGACUGGGAGAGGGGCGCACAGACUAUUAGACAGCGCUGGAGAGAGACGCUCCUAGGGCCAGAACGCCGAGGUGGAGGGAGAGAGAGAGAAAUUCAGAGGAGACCAGAGACCCAGAGCCCGGCUCCGGCUCCGGGAGAGACGGACAGAGGGAGCGGAGAGAGGAAGGAGGACAGGGAUCCAAGGGAGGCCCCCACGAAGUCAAGAGGAAAGUCGCUCUGGGAUCAGAGACAAGAGAGGGACCCCCUCCAUCAGCCCCCGCUCCAGGGGUUCUGGAUCAUUUAUGGCGUCUGACCUAACCUCAAAAGAGAAAGGAUUCCCGUGAUUUUAACCCUCAAGGGAUAAGUAAAACACUUGCACAUCCACCUGGGGUUCUAGGCUGGAGCAGGCUUUGUGGACCCCAGCGGCCUGGUGUGCUGGCCUUAAGAAUGUUCUUACUCGUUUGAGCUGAAAUCUACAACCCGCAUGUCCCAUCCAUGAGUUCUGCUCUGCCUUCCGACACCUCACCCAACAAAACCAGGGCUUCCCAAGGCCUUCUACCCAAACUCCCUAGUAUGGAUUCACCCAGGGAGAACAACCAUCCACGUUUGCCAGAGCUCACCUCCCAGGAAACCCAUGAGUCCCAAGAGCUCUGGAUCCCAGAGCCAGAUGACAGCACCAACUCCAACAGAUGUAGAAUUUCAGAAGCUCUGGGCUCCUGAAUCCAACGCUGUUCACCAGCACCUGCCAUUGGUCACCAGCUGGGAGAGCAGGAAUGGACCCUGCAGCCUUUCCCCACUAUGAGAAUGGGACUGGGGAUGAGAAUAACAAGGACUAUUGAUUGAACAGGCGGUAUUUACCCUCAUGUACUCUCUCAGCUACAUUGCGUUAUCCUCAGCAUACACAUAACGAAGUGGGGGCUAAGAAAGUUCGGUGCUUGUGGUCAUGGAGGAUCAAUUUCAGGCCCCUGUGCUUUGUCUACUGGGCCUCACUGGCCUCACCCUUCCCUGAGGUGUUUCAGAGGCCUGAUAGCCUGGACAAUGUCCAGGCUUGGCCACCUGGUCUGUAGGUGUGAGUGGUCACGCAGGAGACAGAACGCUGGCUGCAGAAGAAGCAAUGCGCCUGCCACAGAGGGGACACGCCUGGGCCUGAGCUCCUCCCCAGCCCUGGCUCACAGUAGCAGCAGUGACCAGAGGGCAUCAAGGGCCCUCCUGCUUCUGGGCACAGCUUCACGUUGUGUUUGUGUGUGUGCCUGGGUAUGUGUGCAUGGGGUGUAUGUGUGUGUGCUUGUGUGUGCUUAGGGAUGCAUGCAUGGGUGUGUGUAGGCACACUCGUACACACAAACACAGGCAAACACCUGCUGACAGAUGCUCCCUGGGUGGGCACCCAGACCCCUUCCCCUCCCACCACUUAGUCCUCACAAACCCUAAACUAGUCACCCAGAAGGGCCUGGGUGGAGCGGUUAAGGGGAGGUGCCAAGUUGAUGGGAGUUUCAGAACUCAUCUCUCCAGACCACUCCACACCCCAUUUCUCAGAUGGGAAGACAGUAAGCCAGAUCUGUCCCCUGAAAACCACGACUCAGAGGCCCAGAUCCAUGGUUCCCCUCUUUAAACCUUCACCCCAGCCUCUGUCCGCCCCUAAGGCAGCCCCUGAAGGCACUGACUGUUACCAGCUGCCAAGGAAGUUCCAGCCCAGCCUUCUGACAGAGCAAACACAUCAAAACUCAAGGCCAUUAGAUUAACUGGUGGGAGUUAACUUCCUGCGUCAGAAGAAUUGUCCUUAAUUGAAGAAAGGGAUAACUAGCAAUUUAGCCACGCUGACCUCUGCUGCCCGGAGGAAAGAGAGGCAGGAGCCAGCCAGGGCCUACGGGGCCUCCCAGUUACCAGAGUUACUGUGCCAGUAACUCUCCCAGUUACCAGAGUUACUGUGCCAGGAGACCAGAUCAAAUCCCUUCUCUGAGACCUGGCACCCAGGCCCUUUCCUCUGACCACAGCUUGUUCUGCUCCUGCCUUCACAGUGGCCAGCUGCUCCCAGGCCCAGGCAAGCAUCUAGCCCAGAGAACCAGUAAAAAUGAGCAGGGGCCCAUCCUGUCAAUGGCUGUGGAGGACGUGUGCAGAGAUGUGGACAGGUUGGAGAGCUCCAGGUGGGUAAGGAGUGGGAGCUGGCUGCAAGACAACUCCUCGACAUGGCAGACCCCAGGCCUGGCUAUCCAGCCUGGACAGCUGGUGUGAGCACUUGGAAAGCUAAGUGACAGUUCCUAGGAGCCAACAUGGCCCCCCUGAAAGCUAGUCAUGCCAGGCAAAGCUCAUUUCCUAUUUGGACACGGUUAUAACGACUAGUGGAGUUGGGCAUCGCCUUGCCUUCUGGGCCUGGGUUGGGGCACGGCUGCUGCCCAGCUCUCUGACAGUAACUUUGUAAACAACAAAGGGAGUCAGGAGCAAGAAGAUAGCCUGGUCAAGUGGCUUACCCCGGUCCACUCCCUGAUGGGCUCCAGUGGAGGGAGCCUCCACCUCCCUCCAGGACUUGAGCCAUGUCAAGCAUCUCAGCGCAAGUGCUCACAACAGAGAAUAAGCUGUGUAAGAAGGACGCUGCUCAUGCAGACUGGACAGAUGCACGGCUGUUCACCAUGGCCUUGACAAGCUGGGACCACGGGCCAAACCCAAUCACCAUGGCCUUGACAAACUGGAACCAUGGGCCAAAGCCAAGAGGAUGACAUGAACAUGGACAAGCAAGUGGGGCCAUCCUCCCAGGCCAAACACAAACAUCCAGCUAGGAGUGUUCACUCCCACUUGUAAAUUUCCACAGCCCCUUUUGUCCUUGAGUCUCACUCCCUGGCCAAUAUCACAUCACUAUGUCUCACCUGGACCACUGGAAGCACCCCUUCCUGAUGUAUUUCCCAGCCUAUGUACCCUUCUUCACCCCCUCCUUUCUGGUUCCUAUGCUUUAAAGUGUCAUGGUUGCUGUCCACUGCCAUGGGAACCACCCCUAAUCAUAAAAGUAGUCCCAGACACAGUUGCUCUUCCUUGGAGUCUUACAGAAUUGUUCUGAGAGUAGCUGGUUUCUUGUCACCGUCUCCUCCUUGCCCCAGGAUGCCCCCAAUUCCACCCAGCAUCCAGAACACUGAGUGGAACAUGCCCUUCCAUCCAGAAC